GACGAACGCUGGCGGCGUGCCUAAUACAUGCAAGUAGGACGCAGUUGCGAACGGGUGAGUAACGCGUAGGUAACUGCCUAUUAGAGGGGGAUAACUAUUGGAAACGAUAGCUAAUACCGCAUACUAGUAGAUGGACCUGCGUUUUAUUAGCUAGUAGGUAGGGUAAUGGCCUACCUAGGCAACGGUACAUAGCCGGCCUGGGAGUGUGAUCGGCAACACUGGGACUGAGACAAGGCCCAGACUCCUACGGGAGGCAACAGUAGGGAAUCUUCGGCAAUGGGGGGAACCCUGGCCGAGCAACGCCGCGGUAGUGAAUAAGGUUUUCGGAUCGUAAAGCUCUGUUGUUAAGGAAGCGGUACUUAACCAGAAAGGGACGGCUAACUACGUGCCAGCCGCCGCGGUAAUUC
rnacentral:rRNA from 1 species